rnacentral:rRNA from 1 species
GAAGACAUGAAGUUAGGUCAGCAAACCCGCUGAAUUUAAGCAUAUAAGUAAGCGGAGGAAAAGAAACUAAAUAGGAUUCCCUCAGUAAUGGCGAAUGAACAGGGAUGAGCUCAGUAUGGAAAUUGGGGCCUGUGGCCUUGAAUUGUAGUCUGGAGAUGUACCACCAACUGGGGCGCAGAUGUAAGCCUCUUGGAAAAGAGCAUCAAUGAGGGUGAGAGUCCCGCUUGGCAUCUGCAGUCCCCAGUGCACGGUGUACCUUCUAAGAGUCACGUUCCUCGGGAUUGGAGCGCAAAUUGGGUGGUAAGUUUCAUCUACAGCUAAAUAUUGUUUCGAGACCGAUAGCAAACAAGUACCAUGAGGGAAAGGUGAAAAGGACUUUGAAAAGAGAGUUAAAAGUGCCUGAAAUUGCUGAAAGGGAAGCAAAUGGAACCAGCGUAACUUGGCGAGAUUGCUGCGUGUCAAUGUGAUUGCUUGCUACUUCAACGUAAGUGUGGUAGUAAGUCUUGAACAGGACAUGCGCGGUGCUUCUUGCCUUGUGUGCCACCUUCAGUUCGCAGCUGGGGAAAACUUCAGGGACAUGGUAGCCUGUCUCCGGGUGGGUGAACGUGUUUGCUGGAACUCAUUUGCGGAUUGCUUGGUGACUAAAUGGUUCCAUCUGACCCGUCUUGAAACAC